UACAGGGGGUGCAAACGUUGCUCGGAAUCAUUGGGCGUAAAGCGCACGUAGGCGGUCUGUUAUGUCGGAUGUGAAAGCCCUUGGCUCAACUGAGGAAGUGCAUCCGAAACUGGCAGGCUAGAGUACUAAAGAGGAUCGCGGAAUUCCCGGUGUAGAGGUGAAAUUCGUAGAUAUCGGGAGGAACACCGGUGGCGAAGGCGGCGAUCUGGGUAGAUACUGACGCUGAGGCGCGAAAGCUAGGGGAGCAAACAGG
rnacentral:rRNA from 1 species